rnacentral:rRNA from 1 species
GUCCACGCCGUAAACGAUGAGUACUAGGUGUUGCGGGUAUUGACCCCUGCAGUGCCGCAGCUAACGCAUUAAGUACUCCGCCUGGGAAGUACGGUCGCAAGACUAAAAACUCAAAAGGAAUUGACGGGGGCCCGCACAAGCGGUGGAGCAUGUGGUUUAAUUCGACGCAACGCGCAGAACCUUACCUGGUCUUGACAUCUACGGAACCUUCGUGAAAAGCGAGGGGUGCCUUUCGGGGAGCCGUAAGACAGGUGCUGCAUGGCUGUCGU